AGUAAUCCACGUCCAUCCCAUCCCAUCCCAUCCCAUCCCACCUUGCCAUUCCCCAGACCUCUUUGAAAACAAAUCCAAAACCCACCUUGAAAAAGGUUUCUACCUAACAUAAAACCAGCUCAUCCUGGUAUACCUGAAGAUUUCCUGCUCCUCAACUGAGCCAAUAAAACAUCUCCCCUUCAUUGAUGCUACAGAUGUGGGAAGAAAAACAUGUACUUCAGUUGAAAUCCAUGGCUGCUAUUACAUAUCUGUCCGGAUAAUCUAAUUUUAACUUUUCAUCAUCUGUCAACUAUGUUAUAAGGUGUUGUUUUUCCACUUUCGCUAUUGUUCUGCAGAAAUGACAAGAAGCACCAAUGAAGGAAAAUACGAGGGACCUUCGGUGCCAAGACUGUAGAUCAUUACAGCAGAUCUCGGAAACCUGUUGGGCAGACAAGGGCCUUGCGUGUGCAAGAUGAGGUCCAGCGACAUCAUGAAGUCACUUCCACUGCAGAGUACCUGGAUGCAUAACGGCAACAUCCACCAGACAGAAAGGAGCACAUGGGGCACCGGAGACACAUCUGCCAUCCCAAAUUAAACAUUUAGAAAUAUUGGGGCCUCCCCUGGUGGUGCAG